rnacentral:rRNA from 1 species
AGAGUUUGAUCCUGGCUCAGGAUGAACGCUAGCGGCAGGCCUAACACAUGCAAGUCGAGGGGCAGCACAAAGAUAGUUUACUAUUUUGGUGGCGACCGGCGCACGGGUGAGUAACGCGUAUGCAACCUACCUUAUACAGGAGUAUAGCCCGAAGAAAUUCGGAUUAAUCCUCCAUAGUAUUUUCUAAUGGCAUCAUUUGGAAAAUUAAAGUUUCGGCGGUAUAAGAUGGGCACGCGUCCUAUUAGCUAGAUGGUAAGGUAACGGCUUACCAUGGCAACGAUAGGUAGGGGGCCUGAGAGGGUGAUCCCCCACACUGGUACUGAGACACGGACCAGACUCCUACGGGAGGCAGCAGUGAGGAAUAUUGGGCAAUGGAGGCAACUCUGACCCAGCCAUGCCGCGUGCAGGAAGAAUGCCCUAUGGGUUGUAAACUGCUUUUAUUUAGGAAUAAACCCUUCUACGUGUAGAAGGCUGAAUGUACUAAACGAAUAAGCACCGGCUAACUCCGUGCCAGCGGCCGCGGUAAUACGGAGCGUGCAAGCGUUAUCCGGAAUCAUUGGGUUUAAAGGGUCCGCAGGCGGACGUAUAAGUCAGUGGUGAAAUCCUGCAGCUUAACUGCAGAACUGCCAUUGAUACUGUACGUCUUGAAUUCGGUCGAAGUGGGCGGAAUGUGUAGUGUAGCGGUGAAAUGCAUAGAUAUUACACAGAACACCGAUAGCGAAGGCAGCUCACUA